UCUGGUGGCAGUAGCGCGGUGGUCCCACCUGACCCCAUGCCGAACUCAGAAGUGAAACGCCGUAGCGCCGAUGGUAGUGUGGGGUCUCCCCAUGCGAGAGUAGGGAACUGCCAGAC
rnacentral:rRNA from 3 species